UCCUUGAUGGUCUAGUGGUUAGAACUUGGCACUUUCACCACUGUGGCCUGGGUUCAAUCCCCGGUCUGGGAA
rfam:Sus scrofa isolate TJ Tabasco breed Duroc chromosome 9, whole genome shotgun sequence.